GGGUUGUGAGGUUAAGCGACUAAGCGUACACGGUGGAUGCCCUGGCAGUCAGAGGCGAUGAAGGGCGUGCUAAUCUGCGAUAAGCGCCGGUAAGGUGAUAUGAACCGUUAUAACCGGCGAUACCCGAAUGGGGAAACCCAGUGUGACUCGUCACACUAUCAUUAACUGAAUCCAUAGGUUAAUGAGGCGAACCGGGGGAACUGAAACAUCUAAGUACCCCGAGGAAAAGAAAUCAACCGAGAUUCCCCCAGUAGCGGCGAGCGAACGGGGAGGAGCCCAGAGCCUGAAUCAGCAUGUGUGUUAGUGGAAGCGUCUGGAAAGGCGCGCGAUACAGGGUGACAGCCCCGUACACAAAAGCGCAUGUGCUGUGAGCUCGAUGAGUAGGGCGGGACACGUGGUAUCCUGUCUGAAUAUGGGGGGACCAUCCUCCAAGGCUAAAUACUCCUGACUGACCGAUAGUGAACCAGUACCGUGAGGGAAAGGCGAAAAGAACCCCGGCGAGGGGAGUGAAAAAGAACCUGAAACCGUGUACGUACAAGCAGUGGGAGCCCCACCACUAAGCCAGUGGUGAACUCCACAUACGCAUCCUUUGCUGAGGAUACGGUUAACGGAGCGCAAGCGACGUUCAACCGCAAAAGAAGCAGAGGGGGCUUAGUGGUGGGGUGACUGCGUACCUUUUGUAUAAUGGGUCAGCGACUUAUAUUCUGUAGCAAGGUUAACCGUAUAGGGGAGCCGGAGGGAAACCGAGUCUUAAUUGGGCGUUAAGUUGCAGGGUAUAGACCCGAAACCCGGUGAUCUAGCCAUGGGCAGGUUGAAGGUUGGGUAACACUAACUGGAGGACCGAACCGACUAAUGUUGAAAAAUUAGCGGAUGACCUGUGGCUGGGGGUGAAAGGCCAAUCAAACCGGGAGAUAGCUGGUUCUCCCCGAAAGCUAUUUAGGUAGCGCCUCGUGAAUUCAUCUCCGGGGGUAGAGCACUGUUUCGGCUAGGGGGCCAUCCCGGCUUACCAACCCGAUGCAAACUGCGAAUACCGGAGAAUGUUAUCACGGGAGACACACGGCGGGUGCUAACGUCCGUCGUGAAGAGGGAACAACCCAGACCGCCAGCUAAGGUCCCAAAGUCAUGGUUAAGUGGGAAACGAUGUGGGAAGGCCCAGACAGCCAGGAUGUUGGCUUAGAAAGCAGCCAUCAUUUAAAGAAGCGUAAUAGCUCACUGGUCGAGUCGGCCUGCGCGGAAGAUGUAACGGGGCUAAACCAUGCACCGAAGCUGCGGCAGCGAACGUAUCACUUAAAGCGUUCAGCGGGUUACGAUUGACGGAGCGAAGCGACGUCAAAGCGUAUACAAAGUCGAGUCGGUUUUAAGGAUACGUUCGUUGGGUAGGGGAGCGUUCUGUAAGCCUGUGAAGGUGGCCUGUGAGGGUUGCUGGAGGUAUCAGAAGUGCGAAUGCUGACAUAAGUAACGAUAAGCGGGUGAAAAGCCCGCUCGCCGGAAGACCAAGGGUUCCUGUCCAACGUUAAUCGGGGCAGGGUGAGUCGACCCCUAAGGCGAGGCCGAAAGGCGUAGUCGAUGGGAAACGGGUUAAUAUUCCCGUACUUGGUGUUACUGCGAAGGGGGGACGGAGAAGGCUAUGUUGGCCGGGCGACGGUUGUCCCGGUUUAAGCGUGUAGGUGUGUGUUCCAGGUAAAUCCGGUUCACUUUAACACUGAGGCGUGAUGACGAGGCACUACGGUGCUGAAGCAACAAAUGCCCUGCUUCCAGGAAAAGCCUCUAAGCAUCAGGUAACAUCAAAUCGUACCCCAAACCGACACAGGUGGUCAGGUAGAGAAUACCAAGGCGCUUGAGAGAACUCGGGUGAAGGAACUAGGCAAAAUGGUGCCGUAACUUCGGGAGAAGGCACGCUGACAUGUAGGUGAAGUGAUUUACUCAUGGAGCUGAAGUCAGUCGAAGAUACCAGCUGGCUGCAACUGUUUAUUAAAAACACAGCACUGUGCAAACACGAAAGUGGACGUAUACGGUGUGACGCCUGCCCGGUGCCGGAAGGUUAAUUGAUGGGGUCAGCGCAAGCGAAGCUCCUGAUCGAAGCCCCGGUAAACGGCGGCCGUAACUAUAACGGUCCUAAGGUAGCGAAAUUCCUUGUCGGGUAAGUUCCGACCUGCACGAAUGGCGUAAUGAUGGCCAGGCUGUCUCCACCCGAGACUCAGUGAAAUUGAACUCGCUGUGAAGAUGCAGUGUACCCGCGGCAAGACGGAAAGACCCCGUGAACCUUUACUAUAGCUUGACACUGAACAUUGAGCCUUGAUGUGUAGGAUAGGUGGGAGGCUUUGAAGCGUGGACGCCAGUCUGCGUGGAGCCGGCCUUGAAAUACCACCCUUUAAUGUUUGAUGUUCUAACGUGGACCCGUGAUCCGGGUUGCGGACAGUGUCUGGUGGGUAGUUUGACUGGGGCGGUCUCCUCCUAAAGAGUAACGGAGGAGCACGAAGGUUGGCUAAUCCUGGUCGGACAUCAGGAGGUUAGUGCAAUGGCAUAAGCCAGCUUGACUGCGAGCGUGACGGCGCGAGCAGGUGCGAAAGCAGGUCAUAGUGAUCCGGUGGUUCUGAAUGGAAGGGCCAUCGCUCAACGGAUAAAAGGUACUCCGGGGAUAACAGGCUGAUACCGCCCAAGAGUUCAUAUCGACGGCGGUGUUUGGCACCUCGAUGUCGGCUCAUCACAUCCUGGGGCUGAAGUAGGUCCCAAGGGUAUGGCUGUUCGCCAUUUAAAGUGGUACGCGAGCUGGGUUUAGAACGUCGUGAGACAGUUCGGUCCCUAUCUGCCGUGGGCGCUGGAGAACUGAGGGGGGCUGCUCCUAGUACGAGAGGACCGGAGUGGACGCAUCACUGGUGUUCGGGUUGUCAUGCCAAUGGCACUGCCCGGUAGCUAAAUGCGGAAGAGAUAAGUGCUGAAAGCAUCUAAGCACGAAACUUGCCCCGAGAUGAGUUCUCCCUGAGACUUUAAGUCUCCUGAAGGAACGUUGAAGACGACGACGUUGAUAGGCCGGGUGUGUAAGCGCAGCGAUGCGUUGAGCUAACCGGUACUAAUGAACCGUGAGGCUUAACCUUACAACGCCGAAG
rnacentral:rRNA from 1 species